rnacentral:rRNA from 1 species
GAUGAACGCUGGCGGCGUGCCUAACACAUGCAAGUCGAACGGAGAUUACGGACGGAAGUUUUCGGAUGGAAGACUGUAAUUCUUAGUGGCGGACGGGUGAGUAACGCGUGGGCAACCUGCCCUAUACAGGGGAUAGCAGCUGGAAACGGCUGGUAAGACCGCAUAAGUCGGUUAAAUCGCAUGAUUUGAUCGGGAAAUGAGCAAUCAGGUAUAGGAUGGGCCCGCGUCCGAUUAGCCAGUUGGCAGGGUAAAAGCCUACCAAAGCGACGAUCGGUAGCCGGCAGAGGGGGGGGGACGGCAACAUGGGGACUGGGCAACGGCCCAAACCCCUAGGGGGGGAGGGAGGGGGGGAAAUUGCACAAGGGAGGAAACUCUGAGGCGGCGACGCCGGGGGGGGGAAAAAGUAUUUCGGUAUGUAAAGCCCUUCCAGCGGGGAAGGUGAGGACGGUACCGAACAAAAAAGCCCCGGUUAACUACGG